AGAGUUUGAUCAUGGCUCAGAUUGAACGCUAGCGGCAUGCUUGACACAUGCAAGUCGAACGGCAGCGCAAGAGCGUGCUCUUGGCGGCGAGUGGCGAACGGGUGAGUAAGACAUCGGAACGUAUCUGCGAGUGGGGGAUAGCCCGGCGAAAGCCGGGGUAAUACCGCAUAGUUUCUACGGAGGAAAGCGGGGGACCUUCG
rnacentral:rRNA from 1 species